rnacentral:lncRNA from 1 species
UCUUCCUCCUCCCGCCCCUCCACAAUAAUUACCCUUCACAGUGCAGCGAAAGGGGGGAAAAAAUCUCGGGAUUGAUUUGAUUACUCUGCAUCGGAGCUGUAAUCCCUUCCUUCUCUGCGAGUUGCGGACGGGUAGAAGCGGCGGCAAGGGGAAGGCAUGGCUUCGACGAGCCACUCCAUGGUGGCGCCCACUAUCUACGGGGGGAGGAUCCCCCGCGCCGGCGCGGGGAAGGCGGCGGCGCUGCCGUCGCUGCCUCUCCUCGUUCGCCUCGGCUGCGGCGGCGGGAGGAGACGGAUGGCGAGGCAGAUCCGGUCUCUGCUGCUCCCUUCUUCCUCUCCUGCGGAGAGGAAGAACGAGGGCUCUUCCAAGCCGCUGAUCCCUCUUUCGGCCCAGAACGCCGCCAUGGCCGCCAUCCUGUUCUCCGCCGUGUCCUCCUCCCCCGCCUUCGCCGUGGACGGCGGCGUUUCUCCUCCGCCUCAGCCAUUUCUUUCCUCCCCGCCGGUGAUCGAGGCCGAGGCAGCGAAACCCGCCGCCAACCCUUUCUCGCAGACCCUCCUCACCGCCCCCAAGCCGCAGUCCUCCGCCGCCGGCGACCUCCCGGAGGGCGCGCAGUGGCGCUACAGCGAGUUCCUCAACGCGGUGAAGAAGGGCAAGGUCGAGCGGGUCCGCUUCAGCAAGGACGGCGGCGUUCUCCAGCUCUCCGCCGUGGACGGCCGGCGCGCCACCGUCGUCGUCCCCAACGACCCGGAUCUCAUCGACAUCCUCGCCAUGAACGGGGUCGACAUCUCCGUCUCCGAGGGGGAAGCCGGCAACGGGCUCUUCAACGUCAUCGGCAACCUCCUGUUCCCCGUCCUCGCCUUCGCGGGGCUCUUCUUCCUGUUCCGGCGAGCGCAGGGCGGCCCCGGCGGCGGCCCGGGUGGGCUCGGCGGCGGCCCCAUGGAGUUCGGCCGGUCCAAGUCCAAGUUCCAGGAGGUACCGGAGACCGGCGUCACCUUCGCCGACGUCGCCGGCGCCGACCAGGCCAAGCUGGAGCUCCAGGAGGUGGUUGACUUUCUGAAGAACCCGGACAAGUACACCGCGCUGGGGGCGAAGAUCCCCAAGGGCUGCCUCCUGGUGGGUCCUCCCGGCACGGGGAAGACGCUGCUGGCCCGCGCCGUCGCCGGCGAGGCGGGCGUGCCCUUCUUCUCCUGCGCCGCCUCCGAGUUCGUGGAGCUCUUCGUCGGUGUGGGAGCUUCCCGGG